rnacentral:snRNA from 1 species
GGCCACCAUCAUUCGGCAGCCCAUAUACUAAAAUUGGAACGAUACAGAGGGGAUUAUCAUGGCGCCUGCGCAAGGAUGACAUGCAGAUGCGUGAAGCGUUCCAUAUUUUU